UUCGUAGUAUGAAUGCCAAUGUUUUACUUGAUGGUGCUUCCGGUGACUUGUUAAACCCAAAUCACGCAUACAACAUAAAUAUUCUGCCACAUGAAGUAAACCCCAAAGGGCCCAAACCCUAACAUCAUAUUAUAGUCGAAAGCCCACAAAAAAGGGAAAAAAUACAGAUAUCAGCAUCUAGGUUCUAGGAGGGACAAUGUCGGAAGAACAAAAAAUAAAUACUGAAAUCAUCAACUUCACCCAGAAAAUAAAACCAGAAAUUAUACCGAAAUGAAUCGCUUAUAAAGCCUGCAUCGACCGAUGACCUAGAACACAAUAGAAAAGAGAACAACAAAAAAAACUUAGAAAUCGAAGAAAUAAACGAAGGAAGGGAUGAAUCCGUAUCAGAUUUGAGAAGAAAAGAGGAAAGAUCAAGGGAAGAAAGAAGAAAAGAUGGAUCUUUCUUACCUCGGUGGAGCAGAGGAUCCGACCUCGCACGCACGGAAGACUUCGAACGGAAG
rnacentral:lncRNA from 1 species